rnacentral:rRNA from 1 species
GAUGAACGCUAGCUACAGGCUUAACACAUGCAAGUCGAGGGGAAACGACAUCGGAAGCUUGCUUUUGAUGGGCGUCGACCGGCGCACGGGUGAGGAACGCGUAUCCAACCUUCCCAUCACUUGAGAAUAACCUUGCGAAGGUAAGACUAAUACCCAAGGACAUCCCACGAAGACAUCUGAAGGGGAUUAAAGAUUUGUCGGUGGUGGAGGGGGAUGCGUCUGAUUAGCUUGUUGGCGGGGUAACGGCCCACCAAGGCAACGAUCAGUAGGGGUUCUGAGAGGAAGGUCCCUCACAUUGGAACUGAGACACGGCCCAAACUCCUACGGGAGGCAGCAGUGAGUAAUAUUGGUCAAUGGGCGAGAGCCUGAACCAGCCACGUAGCGUGCAGGAUGACGGCCCUCUGGGUUGUAAACUGCUUCUAUAAGGGAACAAAGUGGGUCUCGUGAGACUUUUUGACUGUACCUUAUGAAUAAGGACCGGCUAAUUACGUG